rnacentral:sRNA from 1 species
UUCUGCAUUUGCAAUGAUGAAGAAGACAACGAAUUAGAGACAUUGGCCAUUAUUCAUCACUUUGUCGAGACGUUGGAUCGUUAUUUUGGCAGUGUUUGUGAGCUGGAUUUGAUUUUUAAUUUCCAUAAGGCAUAUUUUAUAUUGGACGAAAUUUUGAUAGCGGGAGCCAUGCAGGAGACUAGCAAGAGAACAACUUUGAGACUGAUAGCUGCACAAGAGGAUUUGGUGGAAGUUGCUAAAAUAGAAGCAAGUUCAUUGACCAAUAUAAUCGCCCAG